rnacentral:lncRNA from 1 species
UUAGGGAAAGGAAGGGAAAGGAGUCAAGCAUAAUGACAGACAAGCACCACCCCUGCCUGUUGUGAGGAUGAGAGAUUGGCAGCUCAGGGACUACCACUGCUCAUUAGGAUCCCAGGGAGGAAUUUCAUUCCCUACCUUGGAAGAGUAUAAAAGACCCUUUGUCUGGGUUAAAUAGAAGACUGACGGUGUGAUGGAGUGUGUACUGCAGUUCGGCUCACCAGGUAUGCUGAUUUGAGCUCCUUCUCUUCUUUCUUGUAUGAGCCACAUUCAUAAUGGAUCCAAUAAUGGCCACAAAUAAAUCCUUUGCAACUCCUCACAAUGAGAGGUGGAGUCCAAUUUUUCUUUGCUUGAAUCUGGGCUGGCUUUUUUCUUGACCAGUAAAAUGCAGUGGGAGUGACAUUCUGAAAUUUCCGUGGCUGGGGUUGAAACUCUUCUCUGGGUUCCUUGGAAUCCUUGCUGAGAACCCUGAAUUACCAUGCAGGAAGUUUACUACUUGGAGUUCACAUGCUUAAAAGGUUACAUAUUGGUGCCAGCUGAUCUCAGCCUCCCAGCCAUCCCCAUCAAGGCAUCAAGGUGCAAGACAUGAGUGAGGCCAUCCUGGGCCCUCAUCCUGGAAGCAGCCUAGCCCAUCCACUAUCAAAUGACCUUUGCUGAUACCAUAUGGAGCAGAAAAAUUGAAUGGCUGAGCCCUGUGUGAAUUCCUAAUUCACAAAAUGGUGAGAUAUAAUAAAAUGGUGGUUUUAUUAUAUUCAUAUAUAUUUAUUCUUAACAUUGGUUUUAAGCUACCAAUGUUUAGAAUAGUCUGCUAUGUUACAGAUGCCUGGAACUUUGUUGUAGAGAAGGCUGGGCACAUGUUAACAGAGCUGAGAGAGACCUAGAGGUCAGUUAUUUCAACUCCCUGAUUUGCACAUAAGAAUUCUGAAUAUUGUCAGAGGCCUCCAGAAACUGAGCACAAAAUGCAGCAAUCACAUAGAAGGUGCUGGAGCUUCCUUACUUCAGCUUUACCUCCCCUGCCCUUGAUGGUGAAGCGUCUCUUGUGUUUACCUUUCCUGGAUAACCCCACUGGAAAUGUGCCCUAAGCAGAGUAAGAUGUAUGGAUGGUCAACCAUGUCAUCUUGUCCAUGUGAAGUUGUUCCAAAAAUCUAUUUUUUAGGGACAGUGUCUGUCUGCCUCCCAGGGCCACAGAAGCUCUCUUAGGUCUAGGACUGCAUUUUCUGUUUGUCUGGCUUCACUCCUCUUUCCAUUCCUUCUAGAGAGCCUACUACAGAGAGGGUCCCUCUACCCCACUGGGGGCAGCA